rnacentral:lncRNA from 1 species
GGGGGGAGGACCUGCCUCCUGCCUGGAGGAAGGUCCGUCUCAGAGGGCAUUGGGGAGAACAGCCCCUUCUUAGGCUACUCACCUUUGGGGUGGAGGCGGCUCUGGCUCAUUAGGGAGCAGCUGGGUUUGUACCUGACCCAUUUGCCAGAACCCAGCCUGCCCUCCUGGUGGGUCCUGGCUGGCUGUGUGUCUCAGCUCCAGAGCGUGUCUGUUUGGGUCCACACCCCCCUGUAAACAGCCAGCCCGAGGCCUGUCUUCGGAGGCCAGGCCAGGCCCCACCCAGGGUCAGCCACUUUUCCAGAGGCAAACACUUCCCCCAGGAGCCGCCACCCUCCAGGUUUGCCAGUACUUUGAAGGGGUGGUAGCUGAGAGUUACGCCUAAGCCCUGCUCAGUAUCACCUUGUCUGGAAGAGUCCUGCUGGCAACUGAAGGGCUCACGCAAGGACACUGGACCUUGCACCCACUCUGAUGUCUGCCUGGCAUGGAGGUGGGCCCUCAGUGGCUGUCUGUCUGGACUUGUUUGUUUUGAAUGACUGAUCAUUGGGUGAUGAAGAGAAAGGUUCUGGAAAUGAAUGUGACUUCUUCCUGCAAAAUCUCACCGCUGAAGGGUCUGCCCCACAGCCAUGCAUCCAGUCUUCGGGACAGCUCAGAGAAGAAGCAUGAUUGUGUCCACAAUACAGAUGUGAAAACAGAAGCCUGGGAACCAACUCAGCACCACAGCACAGAGGUCCUCUGUCCUUUUCUUUACAUCCCAAGAAGUGCUGUCUCCAACAUGGUAGAGACGGUGACCUGCAAUAGGACACACCUCCAGCUUCACAGCCCUCCCGGCAGAUGGAAUAGCAACUAAUACAGCCAUUAUGGAGAUCAGCAUGGAGAUUCCUCAAAAAAGUGAAAACUAGAAAUUCCAUUUGACCCAGCUAAUCCCCCUCUAUGUAUCUUCCCGAAAAAAUUAAAGGCAUCAUACCACA